UGGAAGUAAAAGUCGUAACAAGGUUUCCGUAGGUGAACCUGCGGAAGGAUCAUUACCGAGUGCGGGCCCUCGCGGCCCAACCUCCCACCCUUGUCUCUAAUACACCUGUUGCUUUGGCGGGCCCACCGGGGCCACCUGGUCGCCGGGGGACGCACGUCCCCGGGCCCGCGCCCGCCGAAGCGCUCUGUGAACCCUGAUGAAGAUGGGCUGUCUGAGUACUGUGAAAAAUUGUCAAAACUUUCAACAAUGGAUCUCUUGGUUCCGGCAUCGAUGAAGAACGCAGCGAAAUGCGAUAAGUAAUGUGAAUUGCAGAAUUCCGUGAAUCAUCGAAUCUUUGAACGCACAUUGCGCCCCCUGGCAUUCCGGGGGGCAUGCCUGUCCGAGCGUCAUUUCUGCCCUCAAGCACGGCUUGUGUGUUGGGUCUGGUCCCCCCGGGGACCUGCCCGAAAGGCAGCGGCGACGUCCGUCUGGUCCUCGAGCGUAUGGGGCUCUGUCACUCGCUCAAGGGAAGGACCUGCGGGGGUUGGUCACCACCAUGUUUUACCACGGUUGACCUCGGAUCAGGUAGGAGUUACCCGCUGAACUUAAGCAUAUCAAUAAGCGGAGGA
rnacentral:rRNA from 1 species